UACGUAGGUGGCGAGCGUUGUUCGGAUUUAUUGGGCGUAAAGGGUCUGUAGGGGGUUUGCUAAGUCUGAUGUGAAAUCCCGUGGCUCAACCACGGAACUGCAUUGGAGACUGGCGGACUAGAGUUCUGGAGAGGUAAGCGGAAUUCCAGGUGUAGCGGUGGAAUGCGUAGAUAUCUGGAAGAACACCGAUAGCGAAGGCAGCUUACUGGACAGCGACUGACCCUGAAAGACGAAAGCGUGGGGAGCAAACAGG
rnacentral:rRNA from 1 species